rnacentral:rRNA from 1 species
UACGGAGGGUGCAAGCGUUAUCCGGAUUUACUGGGUUUAAAGGGCGCGUAGGCGGGCCUUUAAGUCAGUGGUGAAAUCUCCCCGCUCAACGGGGAAACUGCCAUUGAUACUAUUGGUCUUGAAUUUAGUUGAGGUGGGCGGAAUGUGUCGUGUAGCGGUGAAAUGCUUAGAUAUGACACAGAACACCGAUUGCGAAGGCAGCUCGCUAAACUAAUAUUGACGCUGAGGCACGAAAGCGUGGGGAUCAAACAGG